GACGAACGCUGGCGGCGUGCUUAACACAUGCAAGUCGAACGGAAAGGCCCUGCUUUUGUGGGGUGCUCGAGUGGCGAACGGGUGAGUAACACGUGAGUAUCCUGCCCUUGACUUUGUGAUAACUUCAGGAAACUGGGGCUAAUACAGGAUAGGAGCUCCUGCUGCAUAUUGGUGGUUGGAAAGUUUCGGCGGUGGGGGAUGGACUCGCGGCUUAUCCGCUUGUUGGUGGGGUAGUGGCUUACGAAGGCUUUGACGGAUAGGCGGCAUGAGAGGGUGACCAGCCACAUUGGGACUGAGAUACGGCCCAGACUCCUACGGGAGGCAGCAGUGGGGAAUAUGACACAAUGGGCGGAAGCCUGAUGCAGCAACGCCGCGUGCGGGAUGACGGCCUUCGGGUUGUAAACCGCUUUCGCCUGUGACGAAGCGUGAGUGACGGUAAUGGGUAAAGAAGCACCGGCUAACUACGUG
rnacentral:rRNA from 1 species